AUUGAACGCUGGCGGGAGGCUUUACACAUGCAAGUCGAACGAGUGGCGGACGGGUGAGUAAUAUCUGGGAAAAUGCCUGAUGGCGGGGGAUAACUACUGGAAACGGUAGCUAAUACCGCAUACCAUCAGAUGGGCCCAGAUGGGAUUAGCUUGUGGGUGGGGUAAAGGCUCACCAAGGCAACGAUCCCUAGCUGGUUUGAGAGUAUGACCAGCCACACUGGAACUUAGACACGGCCCAGACUCCUACGUGAGGCAGCAGUGGGGAAUAUUGGACAAUGGGCGCAAGCCUGAUCCAGCCAUUCCGCGUGUAUGAAGAAGGCCUUCGGGUUGUAAAGUACUUUCAGCGGGGAGGCGUUAUCCGCAGAAUAAGCACCGGCUAACUCCGUGCCAGCAGCCGCGGUAAUUC
rnacentral:rRNA from 1 species